CUUUUAGUAUAAGUAUGUCCUAUGCAGUAUUUGGGACAUACUUAUCCUAAGC
rnacentral:pre_miRNA from 1 species